rnacentral:rRNA from 1 species
GCCAUGCCGCGUGUGUGAAGAAGGCCCUCGGGUUGUAAAGCACUUUCAGCGAGGAAGAACGCCUAGCGGUUAAUACCCGCUAGGAAAGACAUCACUCGCAGAAGAAGCACCGGCUAACUCCGUGCCAGCAGCCGCGGUAAUACGGAGGGUGCAAGCGUUAAUCGGAAUUACUGGGCGUAAAGCGCGCGUAGGUGGCUUGAUAAGCCGGUUGUGAAAGCCCCGGGCUCAACCUGGGAACGGCAUCCGGAACUGUCAAGCUAGAGUGCAGGAGAGGAAGGUAGAAUUCCCGGUGUAGCGGUGAAAUGCGUAGAGAUCGGGAGGAAUACCAGUGGCGAAGGCGGCCUUCUGGACUGACACUGACACUGAGGUGCGAAAGCGUGGGUAGCAAACAGGAUUAGAUACCCUGGUAGUCCACGCCGUAAACGAUGUCGACCAGCCGUUGGGUGCCUAGCGCACUUUGUGGCGAAGUUAACGCGAUAAGUCGACCGCCUGGGGAGUACGGCCGCAAGGUUAAAACUCAAAUGAAUUGACGGGGGCCCGCACAAGCGGUGGAGCAUGUGGUUUAAUUCGAUGCAACGCGAAGAACCUUACCUACUCUUGACAUCCUGCGAAUUUGGUAGAGAUACCUUAGUGCCUUCGGGAACGCAGAGACAGGUGCUGCAUGGCUGUCGUCAGCUCGUGUUGUGAAAUGUUGGGUUAAGUCCCGUAACGAGCGCAACCCUUGUCCUUAUUUGCCAGCGCGUAAUGGCGGGAACUCUAAGGAGACUGCCGGUGACAAACCGGAGGAAGGUGGGGACGACGUCAAGUCAUCAUGGCCCUUACGAGUAGGGCUACACACGUGCUACAAUGGUCGGUACAAAGGGUUGCCAACUCGCGAGAGUGAGCCAAUCCCGAAAAGCCGAUCUCAGUCCGGAUCGGAGUCUGCAACUCGACUCCGUGAAGUCGGAAUCGCUAGUAAUCGUGGAUCAAAAUGCC